rnacentral:rRNA from 1 species
UACGUAGGGGGCGAGCGUUGUCCGGAUUUAUUGGGCGUAAAGAGCGUGUAGGCGGCCAGGUAGGUCUGCUGUGAAAACUCGAGGCUCAACCUCGAGACGUCGGCGGAAACCAUCUGGCUAGAGUCCGGAAGAGGAGAGUGGAAUUCCUGGUGUAGCGGUGAAAUGCGCAGAUAUCAGGAAGAACACCCGUGGCGAAGGCGGCUCUCUGGGACGGGACUGGCGCUGAGACGCGAAAGCGUGGGGAGCGAACAGG